GCUGGGCAUGGUGGCGCAUGCCUGUAAUCCCAGCUACUUGGGAGGCUGAGGCAGGAGAAUCGCUUGAACCCAGGAGGCGGAGGUUACGGUGAGCCAAGAUCGCACCACUGCACUCCAGCCUGGGCAAUAGAGCAAAACUCUGUCUCAA
rnacentral:SRP_RNA from 1 species